ensembl:rRNA 5S_rRNA 5S ribosomal RNA
GUUUUCAGCCAUACCACCCUGAGCAUCAUCUCAGACGCUAAGCAGGGUCAGGCCUGGUUAGUACUUGAAUGAGAGACCGCCUGGGAAUACCAGGUGGUGUAAGCU